rnacentral:rRNA from 1 species
CGUCGCUCCUACCGAUUGGAUGUGCUGGUGAAGUGUUCGGAUUGGCGGCAGUGGGCGGUUCGCCGCUUGCUGCAGCCGAGAAGUUCUCUAAACCCUCCCAUCUAGAGGAAGGAGAAGUCGUAACAAGGUUUCCGUAGGUGAACCUGCGGAAGGAUCAUUG